UACGUAGGUGGCAAGCGUUGUCCGGAAUUACUGGGUGUAAAGGGAGCGUAGGCGGGAAGGCAAGUCAGAUGUGAAAUCCACAGGCUUAACCUGUGGCGUGCAUUUGAAACUGCCAUGCUGGAGUGCCGGAGAGGCAAGUGGAAUUCCUAGUGUAGCGGUGAAAUGCGUAGAUAUUAGGAAGAACACCAGUGGCGAAGGCGGGUUACUGGACGACAACUGACGGUGAGGCGCGAAAGCGUGGGGAGCAA
rnacentral:rRNA from 1 species